rnacentral:rRNA from 1 species
AUUGAACGCUGGCGGCAGGCUUAACACAUGCAAGUCGAACGAGUGGCGGACGGGUGAGUAAUGUCUGGGAACCUGCCCGGUGGCGGGGGAUAACUACUGGAAACGGUAGCUAAUACCGCAUACCAUCGGAUGUGCCCAUAUGGGAUUAGCUAGUAGGUGGGGUAAAGGCUCACCAAGGCGACGGUCCCUAGCUGGUUUGAGAGGCUGACCAGCCACACUGGAACUGAGACACGGCCCAGACUCCUACGGGAGGCAGCAGGUGGGAAUAUUGCACAAUGGGGGCAAGCCUGAUGCAGCCAUGCCGCGUGUAUUAUGAAGGCCUUCGGGUUGUAAAGUACUUUCAGCGGGGAGGCGUUACCCGCAGAAGAAGCACCGGCUAACUCCGUGCCAGCAGCCGCGGUAAUUC